UGACAAUGGAAGGGAGGGAAGCCAGGGUUUGAACAGCAGCAACAGUUACAGAGCUGGAUGCCAGGCUUGGUGGUCAGGACACAGACUGCUUUCAGCUCCCACAUGCCCCUCCUGCUAGCUGCUUUGUGCAGAGUAGUGGCUACAUGGCUGCAGGUGAGAGCCCUGCCUGUGAACAGGCCACCAGGAUGCUGGGACAUACGAGUUGAUAACCCAUGGGCUCCUGAGAGCAGAGAUUGUGACUUACUCAUCUUUGAUGUAGCCAAGUUCUAACAAACCUAAAUGUGCAGUGUUUGACUACCUGAGAGCUGUCUAGAUUGAGCUGAAGGAAUUCAGAAAAGGGCAGUAUGAAUUCUUCAGCGUGGAGGCCGACUUUGUGGAGAGGAGGCAGGGCCUAUGUCGAUGCUGCUCGCUCUAUUUUCAGGGCUUGGCACCAUUCAUCCUCAAAAAGGCUACGGGUCCUCACUCAGAAUUAAAGAGGCUGUUCUGCAAAGCUGCCAUUCAUAGGGAGAACUGGCGAUGAAGUGUCUGUCAAAAGGACUGUUUUUACAAUUGGGACCUGCCUGUAGUGGUGAUGAGCCAUUUGUAAGAGAGGAUCAUGGAAUGAAUACGGGCAUUGAGUCAAGCAGUCUGUGUUCCACUGGCGGUGUGACCUGGGGCAGGCCAUUUCACCUCACUGAGCCUUAGUUUCCUCACCUGUAAAAUGUGAAAAAUAUCACCUUCCUUACCAGGCUUUUCUGAGGAUUUAAUGACAUCAUGUUCAGUGCCCAGUAUGGGUGGAUAAUACCCAGGAGUUUCCUCCUCUUCUCCUCCUAAGUUGACUUGAUGCCCCCCGCUGAAGAUCAUGGCUGAACUGGCUCAAUUCGGAUCCAGGACUCCUGGCUUUGUCUCUUCCCUAGUUGCCCACCACACCCAUGGACACCCUUAGGUAGUUUAUCCUUUUGGGACAACUGGAUUUAUUAGAAAAGGGUAUUCUGGGGUGGAAUAAGGCCCUUUUCAGUCCCCAUGGAGCCUUUUUGGAAGAUGAAGUUCUCAAACCCACAAGAGAAUUCAUAAGACGAGCACACCACCCACAGUUAGGUUUCCCUCUCAAGUGCUUUAUCUCCACGUGGGGCAAAUAGCUCUUUGUCUGCAUAUGUUAUUGGAGCUUUUGGAGUCCAGCCUUCAGAAGAGCUCUAAUUUUUGGAUUCAUAUCAGUUUAUUAGAGAAGCCUAGUUCUAAGGAUUAGCAAAUGGGUAGGUGCUCAGCCAGCCCAGAACAAGCAGAGCCAUGACAGAAGUUUCUGGAAUCUCACAGAGUCGGUGUCUUCAUGGACUCAGGGGGCCUAAAUCCAAUAGCCUGGAUUUGUCACUUUCCCUUAUUCCCUUAUCAAACUCUUCCCUUUUGGACAUCAGAGAAGGAAAGUACUUCCUGUAAGGGGGCAAUUUGCAAAGCUUCAUGGAAGUGGCAUUUGAGUGUGGCCUUAAAGGAUGUGUAGGAUUGGGAACCAUAGAUAUUUAGAGGAAGGCAUUCCUGGCAGAAGGAACAGCAGCAAAACACAGAAGUGGAAAUUAGUAGCAGCAUUAAUGGAGAAUAAUUUGGGGAAUAAGAUAUACAAAUGGAAUAAUAAAAAUAGCAUUAAUUAAACAUUGUGGGAGUCAUUCUGUAAGAUGGCCCCUGGUGAUCUCCGCCUCCUGUUCUUCAUGCCUUAUGUAACCGCUCUCCUUGAGUGUGGUCUGGAAUUACUGACUCACUUUCAAUGCACAGAAUGUAUCAGAAGUAAUGGGAUAUUCCUUCUGAGAAUAGAUUAUAAAAAAAGAGUGUGGCUUCCUUCCUGGCAUUUUCGCUUGCUCUCUCUUUAAUUGUGUGCUCCAAACAAAGCCAGCUGCCAUGUUGUGAGGAAGCCCUGUGUGGAGGACCACAUGGUGAGGA
rnacentral:lncRNA from 10 species